rnacentral:rRNA from 1 species
CAGAGGUGGCAAGCGUUGUUCGGAAUUACUGGGCGUAAGGGCGCGUAGGCGGCCUGCUAAGUCAGACGUGAAAUCCCCCGGCUUAACCUGGGAACUGCGUCUGAUACUGGAAGGCUUGAGUGCGGGAGAGGGAUGUGGAAUUCCAGGUGUAGCGGUGAAAUGCGUAGAUAUCUGGAGGAACACCGGUGGCGAAGGCGGCAUCCUGGACCGACACUGACGCUGAGGCGCGAAAGCUAGGGUAGCAAACGGGAUUAGAUACCCCGGUAGUCCUAGCCCUAAACGAUGAGUGCUUGGUGCGGCGGGUAUCGAUCCCUGCCGUGCCGAAGCUAACGCAUUAAGCACUCCGCCUGGGGAGUACGGUCGCAAGGCUG